CUCCUUCCCCGCGGAGCGAAGGCUGUUACUGUGUCCUGUGCGCCAGCUGCGGUAGAUGAUGCCUGCUUUCAUUCCUCUUGGACAAUGCUUAGGGGUGCAAUUGCUGGCCAUAUGGGUUUGACUUAUUCUUUCCCUAAGUCAAUCUUGGCCAGUGAUAUUGGGGCAGAGCAGAGGUAGCAGCAGUAGGAUUGUGUGAGCCGCCAGGCCUGAAGCCCGCAGCAUUUUACCUGCGCAACGCGAAAGGCUGAGCCUGGAUGGAGAAGAGAAGGAGGCCCCGCUCUGCGGAAUGCUCUCCACGGCGCAUGCUCGGCGAGAUUUCCUGCCGGAGAACACAAACUACUCCGUUAAUUAAAUAGCAAAGGUCGAUGGAGCACCAUGGACAUUCUCUGAAGGCUGCUAGCCAGGAGACUCAAGAAGAAAUUGUUAAAAAGGAGAACUAUCCAAACAUUGUCCUCUCCCUUUGCAGCCUCAACAGGAAAGAAAACUCAGGGAUGAGUCAGAAAUGCUCAGUGGAUAAUGGACCUCUUCCCUCACUCCACGUGCUCGGGUUGCGGCAACUUCAGGGGGCCGGCCUAUGUGUGGGCGAAUGAGGAGGAGAUUCUGUAUCCACGCAGGUUACUACAGAGCACUGGGUAGAUCUCCCUAUGCUAUACCGCAGGUCUUUGCUACUCCUCUAUUCCGUAUAUGGUGGUAUGUGUAUGUUAAUUCCAGUCUCCUAAUUUAUCCCUCCUCCCAGUGUUUCCCCUUUGGUAACUGUAAGUUUGGUUUCAACAUCUUUGAGUCUGUUUCCAUUUUGUGAAUAAGUUCUUUUAUGUCAUUUUUAUUAGAUUCUGCAUAUGAACAAUCUCAUGUGAUAUUUGUCUUUUCUCUGUCUGACUUCACUUCGUAUGAUAAUUCCUAGGUCCAUCCAUGUUGCUGCAAAUGGCAUGUUUUCGUUCUUUUAUUACGGCUGACUAAUAUUCCAUUGUAUAUAUGUACCACAUCUUCUUUAUCCAUUCCUCUGUUGAUGCACAUUUAGGUUGUCCAUUUAGGUUCCAUGUCUUGGCUGUUGUAAAUAGUGCUGCAGUGAGCAUUGGAGUGCAUGAAUCUUUCCAAAUUAUGGUUUUUCUCUGGAUAUAUACUCAGGAGUGCGGUUGCUAGAUCAUAUGGUAGUUCUAUAUUUAGUUUUUUUAAGGAACCUCCAUACUGUUCUCCACAGUGGCCCACAACUUUACAUUCCCACCCAUAGUAUAGGAGGGUUCCCUUUUCUCCCCAUCCUCUCCAGCAUUUAUUGUUUGUAGACUUUUCGAUGGCAGUCAUUCUGACUGGUGUAAGGCGAUACCUCACUGUAGAUUUGAUUUGCAUUUCUCUAAUUAUUAGUGAUGUUGAACAACAUGUGGUUUUUGGCUUUCUGUCUGUCUUCUUUGAAGAAAUGUCUAUUUAGAUCUUCUGACCAUUUUCUGAUAGGGUUUUCUUUUUUAAUGUAUAUAAAGCUGUACGAGAUGUUUGUAUAUUUUAGCAAUUAAUCCCUUGUUGGUACAUUCAUUUGCAAAGAUUUUCUCCCAUUCUGCGGCUUGUCUUUUCAUUUUUAAAAUGGUUUUCUUUGCUGUGUAAAAAGCUUUUAAGUUUAAUUAGGUCCAACUUGUUUGUUUUUGUUUUUGUCAUUACUCUUGGAGGUGUAUCAAAAAAGAUAUAGCUGUGAUUUAUGUCAAAGAGUAUUUUGUGUUUUCCUAUAAGCGUUUUAUAGUAUCUGGUCUUAUACUUUGGCCUUUAAUUCAUGUUUUAAUUUAUACUUCUGCCUUACUUCUAUAACCUAUGGCUUUGGUUAACAUAGUCAGACUUACAAAGAGUUGCAGAAUUCUUUUUGGAUGGGUAAGGGCAGCAAAUACCCUUUGAGUGACCAUCAUGAGCAAUCCUUGUAGCCUCAGGAACUUAUGAUGCUCUGCUUUGCUUUUCUGAAGAAGCAUCUCCAGUUGCCCACAGACUGUGAAACAGGAGAACCUGCUUAGACCACCCAGGUCUGUCUGGGUAGCCAGUGCACCACAGCUUUCUUGAGAAAGAUUAAUGGAGAAUUAAGAAAAACCUGGCAAUUUUCUAAUUCUUUUAGGCACUGUUUCCAUAUAAGGCUUUCAAGACACAACAUCUUUCCCCUAAAUUCUGACCCCUGUAGAGAGCCUUGGGAUGCUAUAACUGAAAAAAUGGCCAGGAUGCCUGGAGAGUAGAGUCUGAAGGGGAGUGAGUGUUGGGAGCUGGAAGCUCUUUCCCAUUAUGUGGUUCUAUUAGGUCCCAAUGUCAAGAGCACAGAGCCAGUUAAUAGUCAGGGAUGAGCUAUUGGUUGAAAUCAUCAGGGAACUGCCCAGUUACCACGAUGUACCCUGAACAGGUUCCUGAAAACAAUAAGUAGGGUGGAAGUCAGGGAUCAUAACCAUUAACCCACCUCCCAAGAUUCUCAGAAGGAGGGACAAAUUAGGGCAGCAAGAUAAAUAAAACAGUUGUGUGGAUUACAAAGGAUCACUUUAGUACCAUUUGAUUUGUGACAGGAUAAAUUCACAAAUUUUUCAUCAAGCUAG
ensembl:lncRNA